GACGAACGCUGGCUGCGUGCUUAACACAUGCAAGUCGAACGCUGAAACCCUGGUGCUUGCACCGGGGUGGAUGAGUGGCGAACGGGUGAGUAACACGUGAGUAACCUGCCCCCGACUUCGGGAUAAGCCCGGGAAACUGGGUCUAAUACCGGAUAUGAGCGCCCCUCGCCUGAGGGAUGCUGGAAAGUCUUUUCGGUUGGGGAUGGGCUCGCGGCCUAUCAGUUUGUUGGUGAGGUAAUGGCUCACCAAGACGACGACGGGUAGCCGGCCUGAGAGGGCGACCGGCCACACUGGGACAGAGACACGGCCCAGACUCCUACGGGAGGGAGCAGUGGGGAAUAUUGCACAAUGGGGGAACCCCUGAUGCAGCGACGCAGCGUGCGGGAUGACGGCCUUCGGGUUGUAAACCGCUUUCAGCAGGGAAGAAGCCCCUUGGGGUGACGGUACCUGCAGAAGAAGUACCGGCUAACUACGUGCCAGCCGCCGCCGUAA
rnacentral:rRNA from 1 species